AGGAAGAGACCUGCGUCCUGUUUUGUAUGACGGAGAAAGGCUCUUGGAACGUGUACGUCACCGAGGAACCUCUCUCGAAGGACACGGAUACCUCUGGGGAGGAAGAGAAAAAGCAGAAGCGGGACUGGAAGGCAUGUCAAGACAAAUCAACGGAUCAAAGCACAGGAGCAAGCCGUAAGAAAAAACUCCAAGUCUCAAGAGCCCUCAGGCGAAAGUUUGCCUUCUAACAUCCCAGUGAUGUGAAACAGGACAAGAAAACGCAGGCCUGGAACGAAUCCGAACCCGAUCGGAUAUCUCUAGAGAGACCCGGAAAUAGCCGUCGUGCCGCGUUCAAGCUCGAGAGGUUCUCCGACCAGACUUCCAGAUGUGCCACACGUCUGGGAACUCCAUGAUUAUCAACAAAGCAGUUGGAGGGUCCUCCGUAUGCCGAAUGUGUGCAGUCGCACACGUAGCCCGUACUCUUCUCCACACACCUGCCCCGGUUGUGGCAGAUGCCCACAGAACUGCUGCAGUGACCCGCGCAUCCCGAGCUCACGCCCGGGGUCAC